GGACCACAAUAAGCUAUGUGCUAAGUGAAACAACACCCCCCAAAUCCUCAGCCUGUCUGCUAAGCCCCGAGGUGGAAAAAGGCUUUAGAUAGGCACCCCAGAUCCGCACAGAGGGGAAUCAGAGUUUGACAGAGUUUCCUGCUCAGCUACCAGGGAUUGCAAGCCCGUGUGGGCUACUAAGAGCCCUUCUCAGAUCCAGGUAUUAAUUGAGUGAAAAGGCAGAACAAGCCAAAAGCCUGACUGAAUGCCAAACAACCAAUAUCUCCAAACUUCCAGGUUGCUCCGAAGCCAGUGAACUCAACGCUGCAACACCUCUGUGUGUGCAGGCCUGGGCCUGACUUCCUCAGAAGUGCCUUCAUUUUAAGAAGCCACAAUUCAUUCUCUGAAGUUUAUUUUUAAACAAAACAGACAAAGGACAGUUCCUGAGGGGGGGAAGGGCUGGCUGCUUUAUGGAUAGUCGGGGAAGAAAGAGGAAACGACCCUGCCGAUAAAAUGUCUUUUCAGGAGACAGGCAUUUCCCCCGAGGGCUUGUCUUUGGCCAAAUCUCAUCAGGAGAGUGCAAAGUAACUGAAGGUCACUGAAGUUGAUCAAGAUCACCCCAGCUAAUUACACCACCAGGACCACGGGUUGUGGUAAUCUUCAAGUAGGUGUUGAUUGUCUCCCGUUACUCUGAACACUAGAGGGAACACACAGUUCGGCCUUAGAAGCCCUCUGUCAGCUGCACGGACUCCGUGGGCUCUGAGAAGUGAUCAAAGCCCCACAGGUUCCCCCAGAAGAUCCAACCUUUCCAAAUACCUGCUGCAUUGCCAACUGCCGGGCCAGAAUCCACACGGGAUGAGUGGCAGCCACCCCUCCUCUCUGCUGUCUCUUGAGCCCCUUCCCUGCGGCAAACCCUGAUUGAAGACCCUCCAUGCACUGGCUCUGAUUUUCAAAGGUCUAGGGGGCAAGCAUUGCAAGUGUGUGGAGAUACGCUGCCGAAACCCUGCUGCCCCUUCAGAUUUACCACCAUCCCUGACACCUGCCCCAGGACGGACUACCGCAGGGCCGACAGAGCAUGCACAGUCUCUUGGGAUCCCUCUACAGCUCAAGGCUUCCACCAACCCAGCAGAAACACGCAGACGUUGUUCCACCUCCUUUAUCUCCCAUCUCCUUCUGUGUCUCAGGGCCUGCAUGGCUGCGUAGGGCUUGCCUCGCUCACUCCAGCUCUCCCUGGGUGGUAUUUUAUAGUACAGCUGCCUGGCAUGCCUGAUUCCAUCUUGGCAUCUGCCCUUUGAAGGACCUGAACUCACACAGCAGACGUCUCUCUCAUCCCAGAGAAGAGGAAGCGGAGGACCGCUGGCGAAGUUCACAGUCAAGGGCGGCCAGGGCUGGGUUGUGGGCAGGCGUGUUUGAUUCCACAAGCUGGUUUUAGCACUUCAGGGCACUCCAUAAAGGAUUAAACUGACAGAAGACAGGGACUGGGUAGUUUUCAGCUCUUAUGUCCUGGUUAUAAGGCCACAACUAAGAGGGUUUAGUGCCCAGCUCCUCACCUUAGCAUGUGGGGGUUAGAAGUCUAGCAGGGGGAUACUACCUUACAGUCCAGAGAUAGCUAUAGUUUAGCUUGAGUGGGUCAUGGCCAGAGUGACAAUUUAAGGAGAGUCCUGCCUUCUCCCCACCACCUCCUCCCAUUGGUCCAUAAUUCCAAAGAGACUACCCACCUAACUACACUUCCUUUUGCGACAAUCUUUUUCUGCUUCAUAGUAAGAACCAGUCUAACCCAGGUUUUCUUUCUUUUUUUUUUCCUGAAUAAUCACAUCAUUUAUUUCUUUUUCUUUUUUUAAAAUUACGUAUUUUCCUCAUUUACAUUUCCAAUGCUAUCCCAAAAGUCCCCCAUACCCUCCCACCCACCCACCCCCACUUUUUGGCCCUGGCGUUCCCCUGUACUGGGGCAUAUAAAGUUUGCAAGUCCAAUGGGCCUCUCUUUCCAGUGAUGGCCGACUAGGCCAUCUUUUGAUACAUAUGCAGCUAGAGUCAAGAGCUCCGGGGUACUGGUUAGUUCAUAAUGUUGUUCCACCUAUAGGGUUGCAGAUCCCUUUAGCUCCUUGGAUACUUUCUCUAGCUCCUCCAUUGGGGGCCCUGUGAUCCAUCCAAUAGCUGACUGUGAGCAUCCACUUCUGUGUUUGCUAGGCCCCGGCAUAGUCUCACAAGAGACAGCUAUAUCUGGGUCCUUUCAGCAAAAUCUUGCUAGUGUAUGCAAUUAACCCAGGUUUUCUUAUGUGGUAAUUAAAAAGCCAUGUAAGUCCUACACACACACACACACAUACACACACUCUGCAUAUACAGGCACAUGUUUAUGCUUGUAUUCAUGGUUAACAUUCACUGGACAAUGAGCAGAGCUAAGAAUUAUGGGUCCUAAAACACCCCUUGGAAUAUUGAAUUAAUGGUCCAGAGCCUGGAGAAAACCUUGCUCUGGGGCGAGUAUCAAGGCCAGGGAGUGGCUCUCCUCUGUCCUAUCAGGCUGAACUUGCACUGGUGAUGCAGCACAUCUGUCUCUGCUCUGGUUUCCUUAUCUAACCCUCCCUAAAGCUCCAUCUUCUCCCAGAUGAGGCUGGGAGAAAACACCCCACAGUGUGAGACAGGCCAAGGGAGCUCAGCAGAGCCUCCACAUGGUUCUGUGAAAACCCAGAGCACACACUGGUGAGUAAUGACCACUGGCAGGCCCGAGGCUUAAGAGGAGGCAGCAGGACCUGUGCAUCCUGAUGGUGGCAGCAGAGACCAGCGCAGCAGCCACAUGGCUCCUGGCCCUCGCUCCUAGUGGCCUGGAGCCAGUCAAUUUUAGUUCUCUUCUGAAGCAGAGUUGGCAGCAAGUAUCUGGCAGGGCUCAGGAGACUAACCACUCCUCAGCCCUUGUACACUGAUGCCCUUCCAGCUAUUGGGAGGGUUUGUGACGUGGAAGGCAGGUGAGCUGCUGACCCUCCAUUGCUGUGCAGGCUUUGAGUUCAAUAUACUCCUCUCUCCCUCAUUAGAACCAGGGGAAUCAUGAGCUGGAGAAAGCAUAGCACGGGGCAAGCCUCUGCUGCUCUCUGAAACCUGGCUUCUCUCCCAGCCCCUUCGCCAGCGGUGAUAAAUUCUACACCUGCACUUUGGUACCAGUCUGUCUGCCUGGCAGAGGAUGGAGAGUCUGCUGUAAGGUCUGCAGAGGUGCUCUGGGGUACACAGACAGCAGGGAAGGUUGAAACAUGAGCCUUCGGACCUGGGAGAGCCCAGCUGGUCUGGUCAUUAGAUGGAGCAGGACUAUGGAAACAGUCCAAACAACACCUAGGGUCCCGAGACCAGACUGAUCUAAAUACUGAUUUAAGUAUUUCCUGUAUAUUUAAGUAUAAUGGCCAAGGAUGACCCAUAGGGGCUAUGUCUGUGACCAAGGACACAGAUUUGAUGUGGGGGUAGUCAGGACCCAGGUAGAAACAUAAAGGAAGUGGACUCUGUUGUCCCCUUGGGCUAUAAAAGGCCAGUGUGGACACAAUUAGAUCUUUAGAGAGAGUGUACUACCCCUGCCCCCCAGCACCUGAAGGCUCCUCUUACAGCUUCGACUUGUCCUUGGGGAGUAGUUCUAGGCUGUGUCUGCCCUGCCUUGACUGACGUCAGUUUUCUAACUCAACGGUGCGGGUGAUGACCAGAGUCUCCUGACACCUCGGUACUGUGUGUCUAUUUAUGUGUUUAUUUUCUUUAGCAAGUGUAGGAACAGAAUGAUAAGACAAUCCUGGGAUCCCAACUAUAAUCGAGGGCGUCCCAACUAUAAUCGAGGGCGACACGCAUGGGAGAUUAGAAAGCAGCUACUUCUCACGUGUGACUGUUAAUAAUUUGCUUACUAAUACGUGCUAAGUUUUUUCAAUCUCCUUCCUAUUUCAGAAGCAGGGAUCACAGCCUAUGGUCCACUAUGCACAGCUGAGAUGGAUGUACCUAGGAGAGGCACAGCCCCAGGGGGUUUGUCUCUGGAUUGCUCCUUGAUGUUGCGGUUCUUUCUGAAUCUAGCAAGGUGUGAGUGGGUGUGGGGAGACCCUCUCUACCUAUAGAGUCUGCUGUCAUUGCUUCUUGAGAGACAGCCCACUCUACUGAGUGAACGAGGAGAGACGUGGAAGGGAGGAGAAAAAAGAGACAAGACGGAGAAACAGCAGAGGAUGGUGAUGAUUCUUCCAGCUAUAGCCGUAACAAAGUGCCAACGUUAGGCCCCUGCUCAUUUAGACCGGCUUGCCCCAUGCUUCUGUUCCUGGCACCCCAGAGCACCAACAGCUCUUGUGAGAUCCAUGGAUGACCUUGAGGUAAGGCAGAGAUGCCCUGGUGCCAUAGGAGUGUGAUGGGCAGAAGAGGGCACUGGUCUAGACAGGGCAAGCAGAUCUAGCUUCCCUAGCAUUGUAGUACAGUCUGGGAUAGAAAACACUCAUCAGUGAAGACCAUUGGUUGCUGGAAGUUUGACAGCAAGUGCUGUCCCCGUUAUUCCUUGUGUAGCUAAACUUGGGGAAAGUCACUGGUGCUACUUGGUCUUUCUGAGUAGGAAGAGCACUUCUGAAUGAUUUUCAAAAAAAAAAAAAAAAAGGAUGCAUAAUAAUGUGUGUGGAUAACUUUAUUGAGUAAAUGCAAAGGCAUAAAAAAAACCCAUUAAUUUGAAAGCAUUCUUAAAUACAAAUGGUUCUUAUAAUCACAGCACCAUAUGCCGCUAAACUCGCACAUCCCAGGCUGCGAGUCUGGCUGUUGCAGCAUCCAGGGACCAAUGUGCCCCUUUGCUCUGACCUGUUCAUGGUUGUUAUUUACAUGACAUGUAUGUCAUAACUGUACACCCUGUGGCUCAGCGCCACAGGGGUGGUCACUGGUGGUGGUAACCUUCUAUGUUUGAGGAGCAUUCUGCUCCAAGUUGGUCUCCUGAGUGUUAAGAGCUGAACCAGGGAGAGCUGGUCCCAGCUGAUGCUGGAUGGAGGGGAAUUUUCUACGGCCUGAUUCUGACGUGUCAGCACCUCUAGGUUUAUCUGCACUCCUUUGUUAUUGGAUUUCUUUUAACCUUAGUGAGACCCCAGGAAGUGGGUAGGCAUCUGUUUGACGACUCUCAGAGCCUUUCUGGACUUCACCGUGCUCUAGCAGGGCAAGGGGCUGCACUGGUGUCGUGGGUAGGAUUCCCACACGAAUUCUGGGAUAGGCAGCAAAGUUGCUAGCAGUGGGAGUCCUGCUUGGGUCUUACGGGGAGUCUGGUAGGAAAGGCAGGGCCCAGCUUCUGACUCUUGAUGUCUGGUGGAGCUGGCAAGACUCUGGUUAGUCUCAAGGGAGCAGGGAGGGAGGAACUCCAGAGAGCCUGGAGCAGUACCCGGUGUGUAGUGGUUUUUGGAAUGACCCUUGGACCUAAUAUGCACAGAUAAGCCCAUGCCGGGGAGGCUGAGCAACCUGGUUUUUAGCAGAGGCAAUGGUUCCCCCUAAGCAAGCCGGGUUUCUACGCUUCCAUUCACGAGUCAGCCCACACACUCACAGUGCAUUCUGCUCAUUCAAGUCGGUCCUGAAUCACGCUUGCUUUCUCCCUAGCAACCAUUUGACAGGGUGGGAAGUGAAAGCCCCGGGAGACAAGGCAACGUGUGUGCGGUCACACAGUCGCAGCAGCAUGUGCUACCAGGACGAUUUCUAAAGCAUAUGUUCUUCCUAGUUAACUGCCGCCAGAGAUGCAGGGGGUGGGGAGUGGGGGCAGAGGGCCAACCGCUGGUACCACAAGAGGCCAACCUUGGAACUACUUUGAUCUUAAGCUUCCAGCCUUCCGAAGCUUCGAGGAAAUAAGUACCUGUGGGUUUUUAAGCCCUUCAGAGAGUGCUAUUUUGUUACGGCAUCCCAGUAUUAAGCAUUUUGUAUUAGAACCCUUCUGGAAGGGGAGAGAUGAAGAUGAGGGCAUGGGGAGGGUGAGUGGUUUACACUGGGAGAUGAUCUGAGAGUCAGCCAAGGGGGCUGAGAUUGGAAAAACAGGGAAAACUUGAUCUGAGGGCAGCUGUGAGUUGAUGGGGAGCACCGUGCAUCAUAUGCCUUAAGGAGACUCCGCCAGACACCCUCCUAACUGAGGGCUGCUGCUUGGGUCCAUACCCACUGGGUACCAUGUGGCUGAGUUAGUGUGGUCUUCAGUGCAGGGGCUGGCAGGUGACAAACUGUGUCCAUUUGGUGGCUGCUGUAGUAGCUAGAGUCCCCCCAGAGGAUUGCUGAGCUGGAGCACAGAGUGUCUCUGGUACUCAGAGCCCUAGAGCCAAGGACAUUAUAUUGUUUUGGCUUCAGAGUCAAGAACAGCAGAGUUUGGAAAGAGAGACCAGCUAGCCCCAGGGACAGGCACACAGUGGGAAGGAGAGCCACCUGGGCUCCAGGACAAUGCCAGCAGCCUUCUAGAACACAAGGUUUAUGCUGUCUGGGGUUUAAAAUGCGUAGAGAAAGAAAUCCCCCUGGUUUCCCCACUGGGAGCCUGCAGGGGCUUAGAUCCCAGCCGACCCCUUUGCUGAGUUCCUGAGGCUUCUAGUUUGUAUUUGCUGCUGUUGCUGCUCUUCAGAUACCAGACUCCUCAGAAGUUUUCCUCCUCUCUAUGCAGGCUGUGAAGUUACUGCUCCAUGUCUUAAUGUAGUCUCCAAUCGUCUCCAAUCGUUGCUACUAUAAAUACUCAAGUUUCUUCUGGAGUGCUGUGAUGGUUUGUAUAUCCUUGGACCAGGGAGUGGCACCAUCUGAAGGUGUGGCCUUGUUGGAAUAGGUGUGACCUAGUUGGAAUGGGUGUGUCACUCUGGGUAUGGGUAUAAGAUCCUCACCCUAGUUGCCUGGAAGUCAGUCUUCCACUGGCAGCCUUUGGAUGAAGACAUAGAACUCUCAGUUCCUCCUGCACCAUGCCUGCCUGGAUACUGCCAUGCUCCCACCUUGAUGAUAAUGGACUGAACCUCUGAACCUGUAAGCCAGCCCCAAUUAAAUGUUGUUUUUUAAAUAAAACUUGCCUUGGUCAUGGUGUCUGUUCACAGCAGUAAACCCUAACUAAGACAAGUGCCAAGGGGUUCCUUACUUUGGUUAUCACAGUGAGGGGUCCUAGAGUUCACCUAAGCCAACCUCUUCAUUGUAACAGUGGAGUGACUCAGGUGUGGCUUGGUUGGCAGCACUUGGAUGGUUGGUGUGUGUGGUGUGGCUGUUUGCUCUGAACUAUGUCCUCAUACUCUGAGAGCUCAUGAAACUUAGAAAACUCACGUGCGCUUCCUCCAGGUUAUGUAAGUAACACAUGAUUGGAUGGGGAGAAGAGACUUUGUUAGAACUGUCCACAAGCUUUGGGAGCCAGGCUGACUCCAUGACAGGUUUUAAACUGGCAGUUCAGAGACUAGGCCUAAAUUUUUGUUUCCCAGAACUGGGCAAAUCAGUUACUGGAAAAACCACAGGCCAUGGACAACCAAUCAGAAGCUGCCUUGCCACCUGGCCCGAGGCAAGAACAGUGAGUCAGCAACAGUUUCCAGGCUUCCCCAGCAACAGUUUCCAGUACCCACCACCCCACAAUGGUUCUGGAAUGUCCCUAGAAGCCUAGCCAAUCCCAAAGACCCACCAUACCCCAAGAGCCAACCAAUCAAAGUAAAGGUCUCCCACCCCUCCCAGAUUGUCCUCUAAUCUGCUUUAAAUUGGGCCUGGGAGCUCACCUGGGUGUCUCUACAUUGGCCAAUGGAUUUCGAAGACCUUGCAUGUUGGACUUCUGCAGAAUAAAAUGCUCUUUGCUUCUGCAUACUAUCUGAGUCUGGGGUAUCAUUCUUUGGUGAAUCACGGACCCUUAUAAGGGUAGGGAUGCAGCUUUCUGGAACUGUCAUUAGAGCUGAGGUUGGGCUUCUGAGUCACGGAUGUUCCUGACCAUAUCAGCUCAGGCUAGGCUUGGGUGGAAUCACUCUUUGGUCUGCCCUUGUGCCCUGAAUGGGGAGACUAUUUUUUUCAUGUUUCCCCAGUAAAAGUCACAAAACAAGGAGAGACGGCCUGGCUCAAAGCCAUUUUUCAUUUGUAUCAUAAAAUAGCUACAGGGUUGAACUGUCUAACCCCUUUCAACCUUACUGUCACCUUGAAUAUGGAAAUGAGACAAGGGCUUACACUCUUCUACUCUGCACAAAAGGUUAGCAAAUGAAGGCUGUGAUGUGUACUGUCACAAGCAUGUGCAAGGCCUUCAACCAGGGGCUCCCCUAACACAUGCAAAUUUUCAUUCAAGGCCUUUUGUACUGGUCUACACACUCCCCUCCCCACAAUCUGGGGCGACUGCCUCUUUGCAUAUCAUUUGCAUGUAUUUGCAUAAUGGACUCUAAUUCUAAACAUGUAAGAGUCACUAAAAUGAAAAUCUAGCUUGACAUGCUUAAAAUGUAGAGCCAAAAUUUAAAAAUGUGUCAGAAUAAGGAUAAGUGUGUGUGUGUGUGUGGGGGGGUGCCCACAGACAGAUGUCACAGGAAGGCCUCUUCCUCCUCCCUAAAAUUUCCAUGCUUGGGUCAUCAUCUCAAGGGAUGGAGAGGGCAUCCUCCUCCUGCGUGUUUAGUUGAUUGCCACAGUCCUGGUCGGGCACUGGCAUUUGCACCUGGCACAGGCAAGGACAGGAGUGGUGACAAGCCAAGUGGCUAAUAAGGUACCGAGCAUUUCUUAUGUCACAUACAUUGCUGGAAGGGCAAACCUUUGCAGGCACAUGGACAGACAGGAGGUGCUCUUUUUAGCUCCAUGCUGCAACUGACAGAUGGAAGCCAGCAGACCCCAUUGGUGAGCACACAGCUUAGGAAUGGUGAGCGGGAUUCAGCAAACCCUGGCUCUAAGAACUGCACUUUCACCUUUCUUGGUGUUUAUCAGUGCUGGCGAUGGAAGCCUGAGCCCUAAGUAAACUUGGCAAGCUUGCCCACUGAGCCACAUUCCCCACCCUUCUCUGCUUGAGGCCCUCCACUCUGCCUAUGUUCCGCAUGGCCAGAGGCUAUGAUUUACCACCUCUGGGAAUUCAUUUUCUAGGCUGAGUUUUUCUCUCUCACCUAAAAAAAUGGUACGUUUAAGCUUAUAUACACACAUUUGUUGUACUGAUAAUUCAUACUAACAACUCCAUUUAAUUUCAUUAUUUUAAAUGACUUCUUGAGUAGAUUCUCCUUCACACUCCAGGGUUUUUUUUGUCUACUGCCUUUUUAAUCCUCUCUUAGGCAAUCACAGGAGUCAGAACUAUUUAUGUCCCAUCACUGAGCCCAGUCAACUCUUAAGACUCACGAACAAUGGCAGCAAAAUAUUUUGUUAUCGUUUUAAGCCUCUUUACACGCAUUUUGAUUUUUAUUUCUUUUUUCCUUUGAGAAAGGAUCUCCUUAUGUAGUCCAUACUAGCCUUAACCUUGCAAUUCUCCUAAGUGCUGGAACAUAAUAAGAGUGUGUCCCCACACCGUCUUGAAGAGAGAUGGCUCAGUGGUUAAGAGCACUGACUGCUCUUCAGCGGUCCUGAGCUCAAUUCCCAGCAGCUACAUGGUGGCUCAUGACCAUCUGUAAUGGUCAUACGAUGCUGUCUUCUGCUGUGUCUGAAGGUAGUAACAGUAUAACCAUGUAUAUGAAGUAAGUAAAUAUUUAAACAAAGAAACCCUAG